CCAGAUCUGAGUUCGGGGUUGCGUGGACGGGACAUUGAAGGGCGCGGCCGCUUACCUGCAGGGACGGUCAGAGCAGCUGUCAAGGCCACGCGCCUCCCCGUCCCCACCCUGCUUGUGGACGCUCUUAUUAGCAGUGUGACGGAGCAUGACGGUCAGAUCGAUUAUGACAGACUGUGUCAUGAACUGGAUUACCGUCAGCGACCUCACAUCCACGACAACCUCCCGUGCCAGCUGGACGAAUCCUCCCUGGAAGUCGGGCUGCGGCGCCUCUCGGACGACACGGAUUACGUCAACCUCGUCGCGGACCUAGAAGGCAGCGCCAACACCCAC